CUUAGUCCUUAGCCAGAAAAAAAAAAAUUAAAAAAUAAAAAUCAAUCUCCAUUUUCUGCAACAGCUGCACAGCUUGGAAGUUGGAGACAUCAGUUUUCCUACAAUUUUUUUCCUUUAGGGAGAAUAAUCACUUGGAAGCCUCUCUUCAUUUAGUAUCCAAAGAAAUUAUUUAAAAAUAUAAAGCAGAUGCUCCCUGUUGUUUUUUCCUGAACAAACUGAUACCGUAGGCGCAAGAGAUGAGAAUAAGGCAACUGAUACUGAACAGUUCGUCCCCUCUGUCCCCUCCUCCCCAAGUGCCAGCACACAUCUACGUUUAACACACAUGAUGAAGUAUCAGUCGGUUUUACCUUUAGUAAACUGCUUUUAGAUUUGACAUAGAGGCUUGUGAAAGAACUAUAUUUUAUAAACCCACUUCCUAUGGGGAGAAGUAAUAUACAGUCUGGAAAAUUAUUGAAUUGCACCAAACAGCGGUUAAAGCAGCUCCUGCAUUAUGAAGAUGGUUCAGGAUGGUACCUUUUCAAAAUGGCCUUUGCACAGUACUUUUCUAUCGCUGGCCUACCACAACACAGCAACAUUUGGGGGAAAUGUCUGUUUAUUCCAAAAGAAUUUACAUGAACUUCUAGGAAAUAAGUAAAUGAGCACCUGCACCUCUGAUUUUUACCAAAGCCAAUUCUGAAAUAAAGCUUAUUUGGGUGUUAAAUCUAACCCAGCCAAAUAAUUUAAAUCUGAUCCAUUUUCACAGCUCCAAAAAAAAUAUUCACUGAACCUGUAACAACCUCAAGUGAAUAUUUUUGGCAAAGAUUAUUAACAGGAGUCAGAGGUCGUGACAUAAGCCUUUCUCACAGCACCAAGGGAUUAUGGAGAAGUAAUAAAUAUUCCUGUAACUACCAUAUAUUCCACAAAGUUAAAAAUUUCCUUUAAAGGAUUUGCCACCUCUUUGCUAACGAACAAAGAUAGAAAAAGAACACAAUAUAUUUGUUUGGUUUAAAUAUUGCUUGCAAUAUGUAACAAACAGUAUGCUCGUGUAUAAUCGUGUCAUUAAAGAUAUACACCACACACACAAACACGUCUAGCACACCAGGCCCGCAGGCUGCCACUUCCACCAACAGUUACUUUACAGGAUGGACUCUAGAUUAGAUUUCUUCAGUCAGACAGUUGGAAAACACAAUACAGCCAGAUCCAUAUUUCAGCUACUGUUUGUACAUUCAUUUUAAUGGUCAGGAAAAUAUAUAUUUUAUUUUAUUAAGUUCUGCUGCAAAACAAAAGAAACAAAAAAUGAAAUCCCUUUUUCUCACGUCUUAGUUAUUACUAUUUAUUUUCUUUACACUUUGUUUGGAGUAUUUAACACCUGCCUUUGGCAUUAUGGAUAGAAAGCUCAGGAGUCUCUGAACACACGGUUGUGCCAAAAAAAAAAAAAUAUGGAAGAAGAGUGUCACUUAGAG